UACGGAGGGUGCGAGCGUUGUCCGGAAUCACUGGGCGUAAAGGGCGCGUAGGCGGCCUGGUAAGUAGGGGGUGAAAUCCUGCGGCUUAACCGCAGGGCUGCCUUCUAAACUGUCAGGCUCGAGCACGGUAGAGGCAGAUGGAAUUCCCGGUGUAGCGGUGGAAUGCGUAGAGAUCGGGAAGAACAUCAGUGGCGAAGGCGCUCUACUGGGCCAUAACUGACACUGAUGGACGAAAGCUAGGGGAGCGAAAGGG
rnacentral:rRNA from 1 species